rnacentral:lncRNA from 1 species
AGGAUGUGGCUAAAACCGGCUGGGAACGGAGACGUGACGAAAUCCCUGGACUUAGGCACUGAGCAGUUCCCAAAACCCUGCACGUGGAUUUCUCGCGAGAAUUCGAGUAGGCUUUUGAUAGGAUGACCUGGAUGUGACAUCAGCGUGGGAAACAUGAAAAACAGGAGGUCGCCAUUACGCUAUCGCUGUCGUGCCUUUUUAUGUUCUUUGUUCCAGACCGAAAGAAUCUAGAAAUCACCUCUAGGAGACGCCAGUACCCCCAAAACCUGGUAAUAAUCGUCCAUCCUUUAAAAGAAACACAGUUCUACCAACACCUUUAUUUUAACCUCAGGAAACUGAUUUUGGCCUUUUGGUCUCCAGGACCAUAAGAA